AUUGCACGCUGGCGGCAGGCCUAACACAUGCAAGUCGAACGAGUGGCGGACGGGUGAGAAAAGUCUGGGAAACUGCCUGAUGGAGGGGGAAAACUACUGGAAACGGUAGCUAAUACCGCAUCCCAUCCGAUGGGCCCAGAUGGGAUGAGCUAGGAGGUGGGGUAAUGGAUCACCUAGGCGCCUAUCCCUAGCUGGUCUGAGAGGAUGAUCAGCCGCACUGGCACUGAGACACGGCCCAGACUCCUACGGGAGGCGGCAGGGGGGAAUAUUGCACAAUGGGCGUAAGCCUGAUGCAGCCAUGCCGCGUGUAUGAAGAAGGCCUUCGGGUUGUAAAGUACUUUCAGCUGAGAGGCGUUACCCACAGAAUAAGCACCGGCUAACUCCGUGCCAGCAGCCGCGGUAAUAC
rnacentral:rRNA from 1 species